GAUGAACGCUGGCGGCGUGCCUAAUACAUGCAAGUCGAGCGAACAGACGCGGAGCUUGCUCCUCUGACGUUAGCGGCGGACGGGUGAGUAACACGUGGAUCACCUCCCUAUCAGACUGGGAUCACUUCGGGACACCGGAGCUAAUACCGGAUAAUAUAUUGAACCGCAUGGUUCAAUAGUGAACGACGGCUUUGCUGUCACUUAUAGAUGGAUCCGCGCCGCAUUAGCUAGUUGGUAAGGUAACGGCUUACCACGGCAACGAUGCGUAGCCGACCUGAGAGGGUGAUCGGCCACACUGGGACUGAGACGCGGUCCAGACUCCGACGGGAGGCAGCAAUAGGUAAUCUUCCGCGAAGUGCGAAAUCCUGACGGAGCAACGCCGCGUUGGUGAUGAAGGUCUUCGGAUCGUAAAACUCUGUUAGUAGUGAAGAACAAAUGUGUAAGUAACUAUGCACGUCUUGACGGUACCUACUCAGAAAGCCACGGCUAACUACGUG
rnacentral:rRNA from 1 species